AGCAGGCUCCAGCUCAUUGUGUCCUGACUGCUCUGUCGAGGGUAUGCUUUGUCGCCGCAGUGGACAAGCUUCUAAGGAAGCCCCAAGGUGACCUGCAGUGUCCAGAGACCGAAGGUGUGCAGAUAUCUCUUGUCUGAGGAACCCUGCAGUUGUAAAGUUCCUCCCCUGCCUCCUCCCUACUCAGUGUUCCUCAGCUCACCAGAGAAAAGAAAUGGCUGUCAGCCACCUCCCAGCCCCGGUCCAGGACUCGGUGACCUUCGAGGAUGUGGCCGUGCUCUUCACCCAGGAGGAAUGGGGUCGGCUGAGCUCUGCCCAGAAGGCCUUGUAUCGGGAUGUAAUGCUAGAGAACUAUAGUAACCUGGUCUCACUGGGUCUCUCAGGAUCCCGACCAGAUAUGCUCUUUCCCCCGGAAGAAGUGGAAAAAUGUUUGUCAGAAGAGGCUCCCGAGGACUUUGUUCUGGGAGGGAUUACAAUGGCCAUGUGUAAGAAAUUCCUCAAGGCAGAUAUCCCUAAAAAAGAAUCAGAUCAAUGGAUAACAAAAGAAAGAGCCACCAGAGAGACUCACUGGGUAUGUGCUAACCUGUUAGAUUGGCAAUGCCAGGAAGGUCAGGAGGUCAAGUUGCAGCAAGUGGUCCUCACCCAACAGGACACUCCGUCAAAGCUGAGUGAACAGAAAGUCAAGGGUUCUGACAAGAGCCGUACAGCAAGCUCGUCACCCAUCCAACGUCAGAGAUCUCAAGCAAGCAAAAAAGCUUUUGAAUGCAGCAGAUGUGGAAAAGGCUUCUCUAAGAGUUCCACCCUUAAGAAGCAUCAGAAACUUCACACUGAGAAAUUCAAUGCAAGUCAGCAAACAAUGAAAGAAAAACGGUAUGAAUGCAGAGAAUGUGGGAAAACCUUCCACCAGAGUACACACCUCAUCCAUCACCAAAGAGUUCACACUGGCGAGAAACCAUAUGAGUGUAAGGACUGUGGCAAGACCUUCUCAGUGAGCUCUUCCCUUACCUACCACCAGAAAAUCCAUACCGGAGAAAAGCCCUUUGAAUGUAAUGUUUGUGGAAAGGCCUUUAUCCGGAACAUACAUCUUUCCCACCAUCGCAGAGUACAUACUGGAGAGAAACCUUUCCAAUGCAACAUUUGUGACAAAGCCUUUGUUUGCAGAGCACAUCUUACCAAACACCAGAACAUCCACAGUGGCGAGAAGCCCUAUAAAUGUAAUGAGUGUGGGAAAGCCUUCAGUCAGAGUACAAGUUUUCUGCAGCAUCAGAGAAUCCAUACUGGAGAGAAACCCUUUGAAUGCAAAGAGUGUGGCAAGGCCUUCAGGGUGAAUUCUUCCCUUAUUGAGCACCAGAGAAUCCACACUGGGGAGAAACCGUAUAAAUGUAUCGAAUGUGGCAAAGCAUUCAGGGAAAACUCAUCCUUUGCACGGCAUCGGAAAAUUCACACUGGAGAGAAACCUUACAGAUGUGGCUUGUGUGAGAAAGGUUUCAGGGACCAGUCAGCCCUAGCACAGCAUCAAAGAACUCACACCGGGGAGAAGCCUUACACGUGUAACACAUGUGAGAAAGCCUUCAGUGACCAGUCAGCCCUUACCCAACAUAAGAGAAUUCACACAAGAGAAAAACCGUACAAAUGUAAAACCUGUGGGAAAGCUUUUAUCCGAAGCACACACCUCACUCAACACCAGAGGAUUCACACGGGAGAAAAACCUUACAAAUGUAACAAAUGUGGGAAAGCUUUCACCCAGACUGCAAACCUCAUUCAGCAUCAGAGGCAUCACACUGGGGAAAAGUGAUGGGGAGGCAGUUCAUAAGUGCUGUGGGGAUGCUGUCAUAAUUAUUAAAUAGAAGAUAGUACAUGAUCACAAUGAAGUCUUUUAUCAUCAUGGUUGUGUUUACUGGGGGCCAGGUUUCAUCAUGCCUAGGGUCUUGAGAAUCUUAAGAAUGGUGAACACACCUUACUCUUCAGCCUGCCUCAGUUGGAUAGUAGUGCCUUUUUGUUGGCUUGAAUUACUACUAUCAGAACCAAAAUGAAACUUCAUUAAAAGUAUAAAUGCCAGUUUAUCAAAUUUACAAUUUUUAAAGAUAAUUACAAAGUUAUGAAACUUGAGAUUGCGAAGUGAAGGAACAAAAAAGUUAAGUAAAUAGUCUAUAAGUAUUUUGUUCUAGAUUUUCUCAUGUAAGAAAGGUGCUGUCUUUAGUAACAGAACCCUUUGUCUCUCCUCACCCCCAUCCCUGAUGCCCAGUGUGAAGCAGGUAAUCAAGUAAUUCAAGCAGGAGUCAAGAGUCAGUUACAUUAUGCUUCUCAUGUUUCUGCUACCCUUUGUCAGUCUCCUGGGUCUGCCUGCCCACUUGCUUCUUACCUGUGUUCAAGGAAGGUUCAUUUGACUUGUGUGACAAUCUUCUGACUUAGUUCCAGUUCUUACCACCAUUUUCCUUGUUAUCACCACCCUGGACCUCAUUCAUAAUGCAAGUCAGAAAUGCAAAAUCAGCAGGAUCCUCACAUCUCCAGCUUUCACGACUCAAGGUCUCUUUCUGGAGGCAAAGGUCAUCAAAGGUACCGUAUCGCCCAUUUGUACCCCCCUCAGCUAAAUAUGAUGCUGGUGUGAUACCUAUGUAGGGGGUUUUCCAUGAUAGCCAUUACCCUCUAGCCAUUCAAACCAUCAUCAGUUUUCCUCCAUCCUAAUGAGCUGCCUGGAGGGCAUUCACCUCAGAAGUGCCUGUGGCAUUCUGCUCAAGGAGUCUAAAGUUUCCUCACGUUUGUGGAAUCCCACCAACAGACACUGGAACUACCUGUCCUGUGGAGGGAAAAGUCCCCUUUCAAAUUUCUCUAGUCUUUCUCUUUGUCAGGAUUUCCUCAACUGCCCUGAUUUUACACAUGGGUUCCUUUCCCCUGUUUAUCUAAGAUUGGGUGACCCUGGCCAUCAUAGGUUGUGUGUCUGACCUGCCACCUUCUUCCAUAUCCACUGACUGCUAUCCAAAUGACCUUUUGGUGGUUGAAGGUCAGCUCAGAGGGAACGAGCACUUGCUGUUCUUCCCAAGGACUGGAGUCAGGCUCCCAGCACAUCAGAUGGCUCACAAACUGUCUGCAACUCCAGCUCCAGGUGAUCUGAUGCCUCCAAGGAGACUAGCCUUGUUAGCUGUGAGAAAUUAACUACUUUGGCCCAGGUCAUCCAUCUAGAAAGUGGUAGACUGUACCUAAGCUUGUUUUGUUUGUUUGUUGUUUAUGUGUUUGGUUUUUUUCUUUGCAUGUUUAUGUGAGUUAUUUUGCACUUGCCUGAUGCCUGUGAAAGCCAGGAGAGGGAGUUGGAGUCCCUGGAUGAAGUUAUUUCAUUGCCAAAGCAACUUCCAUGGGAAGAAAGGUUGAGAAGAGGUGAGUGAAGUUGGUCUUACCCAAGUCACAGCCUUCCUCUGAUGUGAGCAACUCAGACUGAGCAGAAGAACUAAUAAAAAAUACGGACUAAGCCUCCGAUCCAAACCUCAGAUUUUGCUGGACCUGAUAAUUCCAGGAGGGAUAACUCAAGGGCAGGUGAUACAA